GCUUGGAUGGCUCAGUUGGUUAGAGCGCAGGUCUCAUACUAUGGUAUGACCACCCAGCGGUGGGCAAUCCUGAGGUCGUGAGUUCGAGCCUCACUCCGAGCA
rnacentral:tRNA from 1 species